rnacentral:rRNA from 1 species
GACGAACGCUGGCGGCGUGCUUAACACAUGCAAGUCGAACGGAAAGGCCCUGCUUUUGUUGGUUUCUCGAGUGGCGAACGGGUGAGUAACACGUGAGUAACCUGCCCUUGACUUUGUGAUAACUUCAGGAAACUGGGGCUCAUACCGGAUAUGAUCUCCUGCUGCAUGGUGGGGGUUGGAAAGUUUCGGCGGUUGGGGAUGGACUCGCGGCUUAUCAGCUUGUUUGUGUGGUAGUGGCUGACCAAGCCUUUGACGGGUAGCCGGCCUGAGAGGGUGACCGGCGACAAUGCGACUGAGAGACGGCCCAGAAGCCUACGGGAGGCAGAAGUGGGGAAUAUGGCAGAAUGGGCGGAAGCCUGAUGCAGAAACGCUGGGUGCGGGAUGACGGGCUUCGAGUUGUAAACAGAUGUGGAAGGUGACGAAGCGGGAGUGACGGUAAUGGGUAAAGAAGCAACGGCUAACUACGUG